ensembl:lncRNA
UUCUCACUCAUUCAGUGCUUUUUUAAAAUCGAGCCACACCACAUGCCAGCCGCUGUUCUAAGCACCAGGUUGUGAUGAACAAGACAAGCUCCAGCCCUGGAAACACAAGUGGGAGAGAAACCAACGAGCAAGAAGCAAACAGUGGACCCAGAGACAAACAAAGACCUCGCUACCUAAAAGUUAAGCUGUGGCAUCAGAAAGUGCCUUUGUUCUUUGCUCCUGUUCUGCCAAAGUGAGAAAAUGAUGAGAAUCAUGUGACCAAGCAAAGAGAAGGGCAGUGGCCCUCCCCGAGGGAGCAUCACCGUGGCAGGAGCGGAAGAGCCCUGCUAGGAGGACCAGACUCUCCCUACAUCCAUGAGAGUGGUUCCAUGGCUCCUUGGGGUGGGGAAGACAAGUCUUCAGGAAGACUCAGCUCAGGCAUCUUCUGUUUCCUGCCCUUUCUCCGGUGGAAAUGAUGUAUCCCGCUUCCUGUCACCCACCCGCGCCUGCCCGCAUCCUUGAUAGGGACAGGGAGGAGAGAGACAAACCAAGCGAAGCCAGUAAGCCUUAAAUCUCACUGGCAAAGAUGAAAUAUUAUGCA